GACGAACGCUGGCGGCGUGCCUAAUACAUGCAAGUAGAACGCUGAAGCUUGGUGCUUGCACCGAGCGGAUGAGUUGCGAACGGGUGAGCAACGCGUAGGUAACCUGCCUGGUAGCGGGGGAUAACUAUUGGAAACGAUAGCUAAUACCGAAUAAGAGUAGAUUUUGCAUGACAUUUGCUUAAAAGGUGCAAUUGCAUCACUAUCAGAUGGACCUGCGUUGUAUUAGCUAGUUGGUGGGGUAACGGCUCACCAAGGCAACGAUACAUAGCCGACCUGAGAGGGUGAUCGGCCACACUGGGACUGAGACACGGCCCAGACUCCUACGGGAGGCAGCAGUAGGGAAUCUUCGGCAAUAGACGGAAGUCUGACCGAGCAACGCCGCGUGAGUGAAGAAGGUUUUCGGAUCGUAAAGCUCUGUUGUAAGAGAAGAACGAGUGUGAGAGUGGAAAGUUCACACUGUGACGGUAUCUUACCAGAAAGGGACGGCUAACUACGUG
rnacentral:rRNA from 1 species